CUCCUUGUGGUGUAGUUGGCUAUCACGUUCGGCUGUAAUUGGUUUAAUCAUAACCGAAAGGUCACCGGCUCGAUUCCGGUCGAGGAGA